GGUGGGUUAGUUCAGUGGAUAGAGCCUAGAGCUUGUGACCGGAAGGUCCCGGGAUCCAAUCCCGCCAUCA
rnacentral:tRNA from 1 species